rnacentral:sRNA from 1 species
AGCAGCCGCGGUAAUUCCAGCUCCAAUAGCGUAUAUUAAAGUUGUUGCAGUUAAAAAGCUCGUAGUUGAAUUUCGGGGUUCUACCGUUGGUCGGGCUAUAGUCUGUACUGGCGUGUGGAAUUUCUACCUUCUGGGGAACUAUCAUGUUAUUAAUUUAGCGUGGUAGGAAACCAGAACCUUUACCUUGAAAAAUUAGAGUGUUCAAAGCAGGCUUACGUCUGAAUACAUUAGCAUGGAAUAAUAAAAUAGGACGGUGGUCCUGUUUUGCUGGUUUCUGAAUCACCGUAAUGAUUAAUAGGGAUAGUUGGGGGCAUUAGUAUUCAAUUGUCAGAGGUGAAAUUCUUGGAUUUAUUGAAGACUAACUACUGCGAAAGCAUUUGCCAAGGAUGUUUUCAUUAAUCAAGAACGAAAGUUAGGGGAUCGAAGACGAUCAGAUACCGUCGUAGUCUUAACCAUAAACUAUGCCGACUAGGGAUCGGAUGAUGUUAAU